AUCAAAGAUGAUGAAAUCAGAAAAAUCUUAGGACACCUUCUGACACAGUUUGACAAUGCUGUGUAUGAGAAAAGCAUUUUUAAAUUUCUGAUUUUGAU